UAUUAGCAGAACAAGCUUUGGUCGUUUGGA
rnacentral:piRNA from 1 species